CCGGAGCCGAGCGGGGCGGAAGCGCGCGUAGCGCUGCUGCUCGGGCCCGACCGCGCCGGCCCCCGCACCUCCCGGCCGGGGCUGCCGGCUGAGGUCGGGGCGGUCCUGGGGCGGAGGCGCCUGCUGCCGGCCGCGUUUCCGCGAAGUCUGGCUCGCUGGUUCCCGGAACCGAGCGGGGAAGGCCGGAGUGUGUUGCGGUUUCGCUUCUUCUAGCCAGCCUGGCGUUUGGUUUCGCCGGUCCCGGGGGCCGGGGGUGCGACCUCUCCUCUGGGCCAUUAGACAGCCCCAGGCUCGAAGAAGAGACUGCGCCGGCGCCCGCGGGUUUGCGUUUCCUUUGCAUAUCGUUUUCUGCCCUCAAAGUGAAGUUUCUGACCUUGGGGGCGUUGGGAGAGGUUAAGUUCCUUUCCCUAGGUAAUCCAUCCAUUGAGAGGCUUCAGGUGGUUGGGUGGGAACGCCUGGCGUGACCUGGAGGGUCGCUCUACUAUCAGACAGACCUAGGUUCCAGUCCUAGCCCUGUCACUUACUGAUUAUGACCUACCCUAAUGCCUUAUCAAGGACCCUGAGUUUCCCCAUCUGAGGCUAUUAGUACCAAUCAGCGAUGACAUGGCCACCUUGACUGUCACGUGCGGGGCCCAGGGAAAGGUGAUUUCCCCUUAAAGGUUAUGACUGGUGACGGUCCAGUCCAUCUAGUAGGCCUGGUCUGCUUGCAUGGGUGACGUAGAGGUUUUUUCCUAAGUUAAACCCCCCAGUUCAUGGUAGAUAAAGGCUGAUCUAAAGAGGAACUAGUGGGAGUGAGGGGAUUCCCCAGGCAUUAGGAGGUCCAUAGUCAUGAUUACUGUAGUGACUCUGCACAUGUGGGGUUUCUGGCUUUUCACAGAUUCCUCAACAGGAAGAAUACCAUACUUAGUUUCAAAUCCUGCCUCUGCCAUUAGCUAGCAGUCUUGGUUUGCCAAACUGUAAAAUGGGGGCCAUUGGAUACCUUCCUCCAAUCUGUAGGACUAUGGCAACUCCUGCCAGGGUCCCAGCAGGUGCUUUAAUAGCUUCCAGUGAGGCCCAGUAGUUCCCUUGAUCUUGUUAAAGCAUCAGAGACUUCCAGGGAGUUAGGUUGGGCAGGAGAGGAAGAAGGGCAAGAGAGGAGAUAGCCAUCUACCUAAACUUCAAAGCUCCCAGCAAUAUGAUCUUGAGAAAAGCAAUUACCCUCUCUGAUAUUUGAUUGGGUGACAAAAAUCUCGAAAGCCCUCUUGGAGUUAACAUUCUGUAGGUUGAUGACUGUGCUCCUGGGGAAGUUUGGGGGAGGGGGGCGGGGGACAGAUGACUAGUGUGCAUUUGCCUUGCGGUGUUCCUCUUUUUCUACCAGUUCUUCCUGACAUCUAAUCUUCUUUCCUCUUGUUAUAAUUAACCAUCAGGACAGAAGUUGAAAAAGUUAUAUAUUACUCUGUCUUUUAGUAAUUACUUCACUGGACUGACCAUGCAAGAUACACAGAUAACACCCAGGCUAGUGGGGGUAUCAGACAUAGAGAAAUAACUAAGAUGGUAAGGGCUAUGAAUAGUGCCCACACGGUCAGGGAGUGGAGUAACUGUGUUUGUGGGCUCAGGAAAGGCUUGAGCUAGGACCCAGUGGGUGACAAGGGUUUACUGGCAGAUGUGGGGAAGAAGAACAUCCGGUGGAGGAGAACAGCAUAGUCAAAGGCACAGGAGCAGGAACCAUAAAGUUAGUGUGCUAGAGUUUUGUAUUGUGGCAACCACAUGGCAGUCUGUGUGGCAGGAGAAGGAUGGGGGAAUGGCAGGAAGGUGACAGUGAGGAGCCUUGGAUGUCUUGCCAAGGAGUUUGGGCUUAAUCCUUAGGGAAAUGGGGAGCUGUGGGACUUUUAAGUAAAGGGUGCAUGGUCCUACUAACACUAACACAUGGGUUGUCAAAUGAGGGAUUGGAUAGGGUUGGGAGAUGAUAGGACAGCAAUUCUCUAACCUUUCAAGUCCUUGGCGGUCUGGUUCACAUGCAGAUUCUAAUCCAGUAGGUCUGGGGUGGGGUCUGAGAACCAUUAUUUUUAAAAAGCCCCCACAUGAGGCUGUGUGGCUGAUCCAAAGAGGGCAUGGGGUUAGCCUCUUAGGGUUCAUGUGCGAGAUGAGGCUUCAACUCUGGUGGCAGCAGGUGAAAGAAAGUUUGGGUGUGAGGAUAUUAAGAAGAUGGCAUAUAGCUGGUGCAUGGCGUACUGUGUAAUCCCAGCAGCUCAGGAGGCUGAGGUAGGAGGAUCACGAGUUCAAAGCCAGCCUCAGCAAAUAGGGC
rnacentral:lncRNA from 1 species